GGAGCGAUGGCUCAGUGGUUAAGAGCACUGGCUGCUCUUCCAGAGGACCUGAGUUCACUUCUCAGUUACCCGA
rnacentral:tRNA from 1 species